rnacentral:rRNA from 1 species
GGCUACGUGAGCGACGAGACCAUGGGCACCUUCGCGCCCAUCCUGCUCUACUGGGUCUACGCCGGCGGCUACCAGCUCGUCCUGCACCGCCGCCCGCUCCAGCGCUACAGGCUCCACACGCGGGCAGAGGAGGAGGACAAGAACCUCGUCACCCUCCCCGCCGUCGUGCGCGGCGUGCUCCUGCAGCAGCUCGUGCAGGCCAUCGUCGCCAUGAUCCUCUUCAUGAUUACUUCAGAUAGUUCAGUGGUUCUAGUCCAGCCAUCUAUGGUGGUUCAGUCGUUUCAGUUCUUGGUUGCAAUGCUGGUGAUGGACACAUGGCAAUAUUUUGUGCACCGCUACAUGCAUCAGAACAAAUUCCUCUACCGACAUAUCCACUCACAACAUCACCGGCUGAUCGUUCCUUACGCUAUCGGGGCUCUCUACAACCACCCACUGGAGGGGCUCCUACUGGACACUCUAGGUGGUGCUAUGUCCUUCCAGGUCUCUGGUAUGACGCCGAGGACAGCUGUAUUCUUCUUCUGUUUCGCUGUGCUCAAGACGGUCGAUGAUCACUGUGGACUUUGGUUGCCAUAUAACAUAUUCCAGCACUUGUUCCAAAAUAACACGGCGUACCAUGACAUCCACCAUCAGCUCCAGGGCACAAAGUACAACUACUCUCAGCCGUUCUUCUCAAUAUGGGACAGAAUGCUAGGAACCCACAUGGCCUACGACCUAGUGAGCCGAAAGGAAGGGGGAUUCGAAGCGAGGCCAUUGCGAGACUAG